AGUCGAGCGGAAAGGCCCUUCGGGGUACUCGAGCGGCGAACGGGUGAGUAACACGUGAGCAACCUGCCCCUGACUCUGGGAUAAGCCCGGGAAACUGGGUCUAAUACCGGAUACGACCGCCUCCGGCAUCGGGUGGUGGUGGAAAGAUUUCUUGGUCGGGGAUGGGCUCGCGGCCUAUCAGCUUGUUGGUGGGGUAGUGGCCUACCAAGGCGACGACGGGUAGCCGGCCUGAGAGGGCGACCGGCCACACUGGGACUGAGACACGGCCCAGACUCCUACGGGAGGCAGCAGUGGGGAAUAUUGCGCAAUGGGCGGAAGCCUGACGCAGCGACGCCGCGUGGGGGAUGACGGCCUUCGGGUUGUAAACCUCUUUCAGCAGGGACGAAGUUGACGUGUACCUGCAGAAGAAGCGCCGGCUAACUACGUGCCAGCAGCGCGG
rnacentral:rRNA from 1 species